UACGUAGGGUGCGAGCGUUGUCCGGAAUUACUGGGCGUAAAGAGCUCGUAGGUGGUUUGUCGCGUUGUCCGUGAAAACUCACAACUCAAUUGUGGGCGUGCGGGCGAUACGGGCAGACUGGAGUACUGCAGGGGAGACUGGAAUUCCUGGUGUAGCGGUGGAAUGCGCAGAUAUCAGGAAGAACACCCGUGGCGAAGGCGGCUCUCUGGUACGUGACUGACGCUGAGACGCGAAAGCGUGGGGAGCGAACAGG
rnacentral:rRNA from 1 species